UGAAUUUAUAGGAUAUCCUCUAUUAAUAACUUAUUAAUUUACUUAAACUAUGAUACAGAUAAAACAUAUGUUUCAUAAAAUAUAUCUUAUUUUGUCAAAUGAAUAAUAAUAAAAACACACUAAACACAAAAAUUUGUGUACUUAUCAGUGCACACAAAUUUACUCUAACACGGGAAAUUAGGCAACAGUACGGAAAAGAUUGUUUUAUUGACAUGAACUGUGUUCAUCAUUCAAAGAUGUGCCAACCAGGGCGUAACACAUUCUUCUUGAAGAAAAUACCGAAAGUUGAAUGGUUAACUCAAAGUUUUUCCUUAUAACAAAAUUUCUGAGACAAUGCUAUAACGAUUUCAUGCAAUGCCGGAUAAUGCUAAACGUGAUAGGUCUGUAAUUAUAAAAAUACUUAAG
rnacentral:lncRNA from 1 species